rfam:Schistosoma mansoni, Puerto Rico, WGS project CABG01000000 data, contig: 0305
AUCCAGCUGACAAGUCCCAAACAGGACGAAACACGCGUCCUGGAU